GAGUGUAUAGCUUAGUUGGUAAAGCAUCAAACUUUUAAUUUGCAGAUCUUAGGUUCAAGUCCUAAUACACUCA
rnacentral:tRNA from 1 species